UACAAAAGCAAAUAAUUGAUGGAGCUCAAUCUCGUCUCCUCUGUCAAACCUUCUCUUGUCAAGACACAAAAAUGCCAAACCCUCUUAUACUUUAUUGUGUUCGAUUGGCCUGUUGCACAAGAACCCAACAAUAUAUCUACUUCAGUCACAUAAGCUGCUUCAGAUCUAGAUCUAGUCCACGCAAGCUCACAAUGAUUCAAGAGUCAAAUUUUUUGAUUAAAACUUUGUAUUAACCUUCAUCACACAAUGGAGAUUCGAUUGGCAUUUUA
rnacentral:lncRNA from 1 species